rnacentral:rRNA from 1 species
UACGUAGGGGGCUAGCGUUGUCCGGAAUCAUAGGGCGUAAAGAGCGCGUAGGCGGCCAGAUAAGUCCGGUGUGAAAGUCACAGGCUCAACCUGUGAAUGCCGCUGGAAACUGUCUGGCUUGAGUCCGGAAGGGGCGAGUGGAAUUCCUGGUGUAGCGGUGAAAUGCGCAGAUAUCAGGAGGAACACCGAUAGCGAAGGCAGCUCGCUGGGACGGUACUGACGCUGAGGUGCGAAAGCGUGGGGAGCGAACAGG